rnacentral:rRNA from 1 species
AUGAACGCUGGCGGCGUGCUUAACACAUGCAAGUCGAACGGAAAGGCCCAAGCUUGCUUGGGUACUCGAGUGGCGAACGGGUGAGUAACACGUGGGUGAUCUGCCCUGCACUUCGGGAUAAGCCUGGGAAACUGGGUCUAAUACCGGAUAGGACGAUGGUUUGGAUGCCAUUGUGGAAAGUUUUUUCGGUGUGGGAUGAGCUCGCGGCCUAUCAGCUUGUUGGUGGGGUAAUGGCCUACCAAGGCGUCGACGGGUAGCCGGCCUGAGAGGGUGUACGGCCACAGUGGGACUGAGAUACGGCCCAGACUCCUACGGGAGGCAGCAGUGGGGAAUAUUGCACAAUGGGCGCAAGCCUGAUGCAGCGACGCCGCGUGGGGGAUGACGGCCUUCGGGUUGUAAACUCCUUUCGCUAGGGACGAAGCGUUUUUGUGACGGUACCUGGAGAAGAAGCACCGGCUAACUACGUG